rnacentral:rRNA from 1 species
UACAGAGGUCUCAAGCGUUGUUCGGAUUCAUUGGGCGUAAAGCGCACGUAGGCGGUCGGCUAUGUCGGAUGUGAAAGCCUCGGGCUUAACCCGAGAAGGGCAUCCGAAACUGGCCGGCUUGAGUACGGAAGAGGGUCUCGGAAUUCCCGGUGUAGAGGUGAAAUUCGUAGAUAUCGGGAGGAACACCAGUGGCGAAGGCGGAGACCUGGGCCGAUACUGACGCUGAGGUGCGAAAGCGUGGGGAGCAAACAGG